rnacentral:rRNA from 1 species
GAUGAACGCUGGCGGCGUGCCUAAUACAUGCAAGUCGAGCGAACAGACGAGGAGCUUGCUCCUCUGACGUUAUCGGCGGACGGGUGAGUAACACGUGGAUAACCUACCUAUAAGACUGGGAUAACUUCGGGAACCCGGAGCUACUACCGGAUAACAUGUUGAACCGCAUGGUUCAACAGUGAAAGACGGUCUUGCUGUCACUUAUAGAUUGAUCCGCGCCGCAUUAGCUAGUUGUUAAGGUAACGGCUUACCAAGGCAACGAUGCGUAGCCGACCUGCGAGGGUGACCGGCCACCUUGGCACUGAGACACGGUCCCGACCCAGACGAGAGGCACCAGUAGGGAAUCUGCCGCAAGGGGCGAAAGCCUGACGUGGCAACGCCGCGUGAGUGAUGAAGGUCUACGGAUCGGAAAACACUGUUAUUAGGGAAGAACAGAUGUGUAAGUAAGUAUGCACGUCUUGACGGGACAUACUCAGAAAGGCAGGGCUAGCUACAUG